rnacentral:rRNA from 1 species
ACCGGCGCACGGGUGAGUAACACGUAUCCAACCUGCCGUCUACUCUUGGACAGCCUUCUGAAAGGAAGAUUAAUACAAGAUGGCAUCAUGAGUCCGCAUGUUCGCAUGAUUAAAGGUAUUCCGGUAGACGAUGGGGAUGCGUUCCAUUAGAUAGUAGGCGGGGUAACGGCCACCUAGUCUUCGAUGGAUAGGGGUUCUGAGAGGAAGGUCCCCCACAUUGGAACUGAGACACGGUCCAAACUCCUACGGGAGGCAGCAUG